rnacentral:rRNA from 1 species
UACGGAGGGUCCAAGCGUUAUCCGGAAUCAUUGGGUUUAAAGGGUCCGUAGGCGGAAUAAUAAGUCAGUGGUGAAAGUCUGCAGCUUAACUGUAGAAUUGCCAUUGAUACUGUUGUUCUUGAAUUAUUAUGAAGUGGUUGGAAUGAGUAGUGUAGCGGUGAAAUGCAUAGAUAUUACUCAGAACACCUAUUGCGAAGGCAGAUCACUAAUAAUAUAUUGACGCUGAGGGACGAAAGCGUAGGUAGCGAACAGG